rnacentral:rRNA from 1 species
GCAUAUCAAUAAGCGGAGGAAAAGAAACUAACAAGGAUUCCCCUAGUAACUGCGAGUGAAGCGGGAAAAGCUCAAAUUUAAAAUCUGGCGGUCUUUGGCCGUCCGAGUUGUAGUCUGGAGAAGUGCUUUCCGCGCUGGACCGUGUACAAGUCUCUUGGAACAGAGCGUCAUAGAGGGUGAGAAUCCCGUCUUUGACACGGACUACCAGUGCUUUGUGAUGCGCUCUCAAAGAGUCGAGUUGUUUGGGAAUGCAGCUCAAAAUGGGUGGUAAAUUCCAUCUAAAGCUAAAUAUUGGCGAGAGACCGAUAGCGAACAAGUACCGUGAGGGAAAGAUGAAAAGCACUUUGGAAAGAGAGUUAAACAGUACGUGAAAUUGCUGAAAGGGAAACGCUUGAAGUCAGUCGCGUUGAUCAGGACUCAGCCUUGCUUUUGCUUGGUGCAUUUUCUGGUUGACGGGCCAGCAUCGAUUUUGAUCGCCGGAAAAAGGCUGGGGGAAUGUGGCACCUUCGGGUGUGUUAUAGCCUUCAGUCACAUACGGCGGUUGGGAUCGAGGACCGCAGCACGCCUUUAUGGCCGGGGUUUGCCCACGUUCGUGCUUAGGAUGCUGGCGUAAUGGCUUUAAACGACCCGUCUUGAAACACGGACCAAGGAGUCUAACAUGCCUGCGAGUGUUUGGGUGGUAAACCCGAGCGCGUAAUGAAAGUGAAAGUUGAGAUCCUUGUCAUGGGGAGCAUCGACGCCCGGACCUGAACUUCGGUGAUGGCUCUGCGGUAGAGCAUGUAUGUUGGGACCCGAAAGAUGGUGAACUAUGCCUGAAUAGGGUGAAGCCAGAGGAAANCUNUGGUGGAGGCUCGUAGCGAUUCUGACGUGCAAAUNGAUCGUCAAAUUUGGGUAUAGGGGCGAAAGACUAAUCGAC